rnacentral:rRNA from 1 species
CAGCAACCUGCAGGAGGUCGCGGAGGGGCUGAAAAAGGACCUGAAGCAGAGGGAGCAGUCCCUCGCCAAGCUGAAGCUGAAAUUAAAGAGAGUUGAGGCCGACGCGAAGGCUGUUGAGAAUGCAUACGAGGCUGAGAAGGAAAAGUUCAUG